UUUUAAAAUCAAGGUAUCAUUUAGCAUACUAGAACACACACAAAAAAAGUGAUUUAUGGAAAGAUAGGAUUCCUAAGAGAGAGAACAAUAACCUAAAAUACUCAAAUAAACACAUAAGUAAAAGGCUGCAAUGGUUAAGCUGGGAAUAUCUGUUUAAAAUAAAUUCAUUAAAAUGUAGCUUCUAGCAUAAGCAGUAUCAAGUGGUUUCAUGGAUGACUAGGAAUUGGGAAUUCUGGCUCUACUUAAUUCUGCCUGCACUUGAGGUUACAACUCAGUCUAAGCACAUCCCUCAUGUGCUCUGCCUCUCCAUUUUGGACACAUGUAAAGGAAUGUGAACCUUCUCGGGAUCCUUUUCAGACCUCUCCACAUUUCUGAAGGCUUCCUCGGUCCUUCCCCUUACUAUAAAAGUUCUUCUAGAAGCCAUAUUCCUGUCCUGCUAGGAAACAAUCUUUAAAAAAAGAAAAAGAAAAGCUGAACCAAAAAUAGAAAAGGGACGCCAAAUGGAAAAAAAAUAACUAAAGAACCACAGUGACCUCUAGUGGCAUAAAUCAGGAUCGUUCUGCAUGCACACUAAGUUAACUACGGAGCAUUUGUGGAAGUGGACCCUGGGACCAUCCACAAACCCCCACCAGCUGUUGUGGGUGCCAGAAGACUGGGAAAAAUGUGUCUUCCUCACUGUAUUUCCCAACCCUGUGCUCUUCAUGAUGCUUCGUGGCCUUAUGAGAAGAUGAGAACACAGAUGGCUCAACCUAUCUCCUAGGGAGAUUCUCCAGGGAGAGACAGAACUUCUUGAGAGGCCACAGAGGUUGCCCCCAGGGAAGCAGUGAUGAUCUGGAGGCGACAACCCCAUGUUCAGUGUCUUCCCAGAAAGAUUCCUUGCAAAAGAGCUCAGAACUGAUUGGUGGGAUCUCUAGUUGCCCAGACAAAGGUCUGAUCAAGGUGAACCAGGGUCAAGCCAUUACAUUAAUGCUAACUGCGUUCCCUAUGCCGUGCUCCCCAUCAAGUGGAUGCGGGAUGGAAAAGAAGAGUCAAGACUUCAAGGUUUUGAACCUGAAUAGCUGGAAGUGUGAACUAAAAUGCAGAAUACUAAAAGAAAAGCUAGUUUGGAAAGGAUGAUCAGAAGUUCAGUUCUGAACAUGUUAUAUUUGAGUUGCUUCUCAGACAUCCAAAUGAAGAUGCUGGGUAUAAGAACUUGGAUAUGCAGAUCUAGAAUUGGGAGAAGAGAUCCUGGACAGAGAUAUAAAUGUCAGUCACAUAUAUAGAGCUUCUCCACCUACUGAUCCAAUUUUCACGGCAUCUCUUCCUGUUCUGAACUUGAUUAUUUCUUCAAGCUCUUUAAAUUAAAAGGGCCCUACUCCUAAGGACUUUAAUAACUUAAUAUUUUUUUCUUCUGUGUAAGUGUCUUAAUUCAGGGCUCAGAUGAGUAACUGGAAAGGAAAAUUAUUAUCGUUCUACUAUUUCUAGAACUAGAGCUUUUAAGUCUUACGUUAGUCACUAAAGAAGCUUGAAGGAUACUUCUUUAAAAAGAAAAUAAAGCGAGAAAUUCCCUGGUAGAAUUAUUAUAGAAUUUAAUUUGUGACUCUCCUCACGGCAAUUUUGUGAGAUAUCAUCAAUAUUUCACUGUUACGGCACUGGAAACAUUCAAUAUGUUGUUUAUUUGCAUUGUUAUUAAAAGUUGCCUGUAGAGUCAGAUUCCUCAAUAUAAAAUCUUAAGUUUCUUUUGGCUAGUUUCUAAAAUUUAAGGAUGCAUUAUUGCCACAUUGUCAUUUUAAGAUAUAAGAAGACAUUCUCUGGCCACCUAGGUCAAAUGUUUGCCUCCCUUUAGUUAUUUGAUAAUCCAGAAAUCGUUUAGUCUCUAUCUCUUCCAAAAACUCCUUUAAUCCACCUGUGAUUAAAUUGUAAGGACGAGAAUCUCUCCACACCAGACUAAGAUAGUAUUAAGGAGUCGAUAAACAUAUACCAGAACUGUUUUCUAUUGAUUUUUGCAAAAUCUUAGAUUGUCUUAUAUUGAGUAGGCAAAGCACACCACGCAGCUCAAGGAGUGGCUAUAUUGUACAAAGGCAAGAAUCUUCUCCUGGAUUUGGAGGCAGGAGAUGUCUGUUCUGACCACAAUGAUGCCUUAUGCUUGGUUUGUGACAAAGACAAUAGCAAGUCACUCUGCUUCUCAGUUCCUAAACCCUAAAUACAGUCGCAUGCUGCAUAAAAUGUUUUGGUCAACAAUGGACUGCAUAUACAACAGUGGUCCUACAAGAUUAUAAAUUUUCCUGUCACCUAGUGAUGUCAUAGUCAUUGUAAUGUAGUGCAACACAUUACUCAUGUGUCUGUGGUGAUGCUGGUGUAAGCAAACCUAUUGUGCUGCCAGUCGUAUAAAGGUACAGCACAUAUAAUGAAGUACAUAAUACUUGAUAAUGAUAAUAAAGGACCAUGUUAUUGGUUUAUGUAUUUACUAUACCAUACUUUUUAUCAUUGUUUUAGAGUGUACUCUUUUUACUUAUAAAAAAAGUUUGCUGUAAAACAGUGUGCUGUGUUAUGCUAGCAGCAGUCUCACACAUCUCAUGUUUACCUCAUCUCUUGAUUCAUCAUUUUCUCUUGUAGAUGGACCUAGAGGGUAUUAUGCUAAGCAAAAUAAGUCAGACAGAGAAAGACAUACUGCAUGAUUUCACAUAUAUGUGGAAUCUAAAAACAAAAUAAACAAAACGAAACAGAAACAGACUGAUACAGAGAACACACUGAUGGUUGCAAAGGGAACGGGAUGGUGGGAAUGGAUGAAAAAGGUGAAGGGGGUUAAGAGGUACACAAUUUCGGCUAUAAAAUAAGUCAUGGAGAUGUAAUGUACAGUGCAGGGAAUAUAGUCAAUAAUAUCAUAAUAACUUUGUGCAAGGAUAGAUGGUUACUAAACUUGUCAUGGUGAUCACUUCAUGAGGUAUAUAAAUGUCGAAUCAUUAUGUCGUACACCUGAAACUAAUAUAAUAUUGU